UGGAUCUAGAGGAAUGUUUCUUCUUUGGAACUAAAGCUCUGGGACUAGUCUGGGAUUUCUGGUAAUGAGAAUGCAGGUUCCUCUUUUUGCCUCCAAGACUGGCUGACCGCGGCCUGGGACAAGAGACUAGGGGCUUGAAAUACUUCACUCCAAGCAACUACUUUGAAGAAAAGCAGGUUCAUAAGAACAGGACAGGUCCCAAUCCACGUCCAGCAAUAAAUGAGGAAAUGCUUUCUGGGACAGGGGUAUAUGCACCACUUUGACCGGCGCAGCUCCCCAAUGAGACAGGAAACGCUUAAGAUAAACCAAGUUUUGCCCUUUCCAUGCUUAAUUUAAACUUUAAAAGAUCAAUACAGCCAAUAAUGUGCAAGCAAGGUUAUGCUUGUGUCUUAAUAGGAGAAAGAUCCAUGAGAAACAUACAGCCUUGAUGGAAGACACAACCAGUGCUGAGGACAGCCUUAGAUGGUGGCUCCACCAACCUGGGUCCGGGGAGACAUGCCAAUCAGCCAGAAAAUUGACCCCAAGAGACCAAGAGAAAAGGCAAGUGAUCCAGUGGAAUGACAUCCAAGCAAUGAUUCAUGAGGCUAAAAAUAUUGUCACCAAAAGGAAAAUUCCACCAACCCCUGAAAAUCUUUUGAUUGCCUUAAAGACUCUGCUGGCAAUAUCUGUAUAUAUGACACCUGUCUCAGGAGUGGAAUAAUAGACUUAUGUCUUUGAUCCACCACUACUUAGACCCAUUACUUGGGCAGAUUCUCCACUGAGAUUUAUCAUGAACUAUACUUGACUUCUUAAACUGUGCCAUUACAAGGCCACUCAUUUCUGCAUCCUUGGGAGGAUAUUAAAAAACAUGUACAAGGAGCUAUCCAUCAAAAUGUUAUGAUGGAUACUGACGCUUUCCAGAAGUAGGUGUUAAUGUCCCAACAAACGCAAAAAUUUGAUGAACAAAUUCAAGAUUGGUACAAAUUCUCUGAUGCUUUAGAUCAAUUAAAUCCAUUCAGCUAUCUGAAGGCAGACUUCUGGCUUUAUGUCGGUAUACUUGGAGUAGUCUGUGUGUUUCUCCUUAUUCUAUUCAUAGUCUGUGGAAGAGGAGCCAAAUUGGAGACAACAUUCAUCCACAUCUUACCCUGAUCCAGCUGUUGUUACAAAAACAAAAGGGAGAAGAUGUUAGCACACUAAACUAAACUCAAAAUAGAUCAAAUAUCUAAAUAUUAAAACAGAAACACUAAAUCUCCUGGAAGAAAAGGUAGAUAGAAAUCUUGAAGACAUAGGGAUAGGCAGAGAGUUCAUGAACAGAAACAAACUGUACUGGAAGCAUUUUUCAAAGAAUCAAUAAACAGUAUCUCAUCUUAUUAAAAGUUUUUGCCCAUCAAAAUAAUUCAACAGAGUGAAAAAACUACCCAUAAUGUAGGAAAAAAUUUUAGCCCAAUGUCUCUCAGACAAAGAAAUUCUACCAAGAACAUAUAAAGAAUUGAAAAAAAUCAUACCCCUCAGAUUCAAAGACCCAAUCAAAAAGUGGAUAUCUAAAGUGAAUACACAAUUUUCACAUUAAGAAACACAAAUGUCAAAUACAUAUAUGAAAAAAUGUUCAAUAUCACUCAUUAUUUGAGAGAUGCAAAUUAAAACACCACUGAGAUUCCAUCUCACUCCCAGAAAGAAUGGCUACCAUCAAGAAGUCAACCAAUAAUAAAUGCUGGAGGAGCUGUGAGGAAAAAAAGAAUGCUUCUCCAUUGUUGGUAGAAGUAUAGACUACUAAAACCACUGUGCAAAUCAAUGUGGAGAUUCCUCAGAAACUAGGAUUAGAGGUCCCUUUCCACCCAGCUACUCUCCUUCUGAGCAUCAUCCAGGAAGAAUUGAAAUCAUUAUACCACAGUGACAUACAUAUAUGCACCCAUGUUUAGAGAAGCAUAGCUCUUAAUAGCUAAAUCUUGGAAACAACCCAAAUGCCCAUCAACUAAAGAAUAGAUUAAAAAAAAAAUAUGUGGUACUUUUAUACAAAGGAGUACUAUUUCAGCUAUAAAAAGGAUGAUCUUGAGGCUCUUAUAGGUAAAUGGAGGCAACUAGAGACCAUCCUCAUAAAUGAUAAACACACUUGUAUGUGUCAAUAUCAUAUUGUCUCCGUAGUGUAAAAAAAGGGAAACAGUAAAUAGGAUCCAAAAUGUACAAAAGAUAUUGUUCAAAUGAAAGAGGAAGAGAUUGCUCAAAAGGAAAGAACAACUUGGUUGAAAGGAAGGAGAAAAGAAAGAAGGGAAAGGAGAAAAAAAGGGAAAAAAGAGAAAAUAAAGAAGGGAAUAAAUAAUUAUGUUACUAAUCUCUUAGUCUGUCAAAAAGAACAAGUUUGUGCUUUCAAUGUUUGGUCAUAUUUUCAUCCCUAUAUCUUGUAAUCUGAGCAACUACUUCAAAGAUAACAAUAUGCAAUAUAUUACUCAUUAUUAAUCUAUUUUGUUGUUUGGAAACUCUGUAAAAAGAAUUAAAUGGUUAAAAAGAUCUGGGACUGUGGCUUAUUGGUAGAGGGCACCUGGGUUCACUCCCUAGAACUGUGAGAAAAGUGGGGGUGGGAGGUGAAAGGUUGAGGGAGAGUCUUAAAAUACAGAGCCUUUGAAUCUUCCGAAUCAAAAUCUCAGCAAGUCAAACCAAAGAAAUUUAUGUUUUCCCAGCCUUUCCCGAUGAUUCCUUUACAUAUCUGAAGCUAAUAUCUUCUCAGAAACUUUCUGUCUCUUAGAUUCACAGUAAGCUGAUUUGCUAAUAAAAAUCUAUGUAUCUAUAUCCAUAUCCUUAUCCAUAUCCUAGUUACCAACUACUUAAAAGCUUGAAAAUAAGAGUUCUUUUCCACUUUUGUCCUAGUGUUUUCAGUCCAAUUUAGUCACUGAUCACGUGGCUUUUCCUUUUAUUAAGCAUCUGACUAUAAUGAGAUCCGUUUUUAAAUCAAUAACUAUUAUCUGUGCACCCACCAUGUACCAGGAACAAUGAUACGAAGAAUAGCCCAGCACGCUCCUAUCUUGGAGAUACAGUGUAACCAGCAUGAAAGACUUGUGAAUAAAUAAUUCUUUGCACUAAGUGCUCUGGUGUAAAUAUAUCAAAAGUGCUGAGAGCACACAGAUAAGAAGCCAGCUAAGGUUUCCCAGGGACUCCAUGAAGGUCCAAACAAGAGGCAACAUUUGAGCUGGUUUUGAGACAGAGUGAGGAAAGGAUACUCAAGUGCGAAAACAACACGACCAAGAACAGCAGAAUGAAAACAGUCUUUCCUGUGUGUGCUGCAGAGAGAUUGUGGUGAAGCCCAAAACUUGGGCUAUGCUCUUAUCAUAAAGAAGCAUUCUGUACGACAUGUCACACAGUGACAGUAAGACUGUAGCUCCCAGGAGCCACCAGAGAGGGGGCUUUGCUUGCUUGCUUUUCCUUUCCUCUUUUUACAUCUUUUGUGUUUAUGAAAAAUAUUUAGAUUGGAUUUAAAAAUUCAAAUAUUACUGUCAGGCUCACAUUAAAAUUAGCACUAGGGGCUGGGGAUUUAGCUCAGCGGCAUAAGCACCUGCCUUGCAAGCAGGCAGUCGUGAGUUCGAUCCCUGGUACCAAUAAAAAGGGAAAAGACAAAAAAAAAAAAAAAAUUAGCACAUCUCUUCCUCCACAUUCAACUCUUUCUUUCUUUAGGCAUCCAUGUACAUCUUUAAGCUUUUUUUAGUGUUUAAUUUCAUAUUUCAAAAUUAUGUGGUGCACUGUAGAAAUUUCAUUGGGAAAUCAACAAAUAGGAGUAUCUUUUGUAUGAACUGAUGUCUUCCCCAAAGAGGAAUUAAUUCUCUGAUCUCCUGCUGAGGGACAAAAUACUAGUGACCCUGAGAACAGACACUCAGAAAUCAGAAAUCACAAUAUACAGAUUGCCUCAGUCAUCCUCUCCCUCCUUUUCCCUAGAUGGUAGUCUUCCAUGUUUAACAUAUCUAGGAGAGUUCUUUUGAUCUAAAGUUUUGUCCAUUGUCUUCUCUUGAAUAGGUCGGAACAGUAAUUUUGGUUUUACACCUUGCAGUGCCCAAGUUUCCUGAAUUUUACAUAGGACCUGGAUCCAGUCUCCAGUAGAUAAGGAAACCAAAUAGAGCUAGAUUGAGGGUACAAAGUCAGUGAAUACUGAAGUCUACGAAAGCAGAAGUCUAAUCUGUAGCAUAUGGGCCAAUCCUUGUUUACCACCUAAAGUUUUGUGUAUUCCAUGAACUAAGAGUGGAUUUACGUUCUUAAGGGAUUAGGAAAAAAUGCAAUUGAAGAGUAACAGUUUAGUAUGUGGAGAAACUGCAUGAAAUUCUAAUAUCUGUGUUCAUAAAUAAAAUUUUAUGGCCAUCUG